AACGAACGCUGGCGGCGUGCCUAACACAUGCAAGUCGAGCGCCAAAGGAGCAAUCCGAGUAGAGCGGCGCACGGGUGCGUAACACGUGGGUAAUCUGCCUCAGGGUUGAGGAUAACCUUCCGAAAGGUUGGCUAAUACUCGGUAAGCUUACGGUGACUUCGGUCGCUGUGAGAAAACUAGGCCUCUAUUUAUAAGUUUAGGCCCAGAGAUGAGCCCGCGGCCCAUCAGCUAGUUGGCGGGGUAACGGCCCACCAAGGCAACGACGGGUAGCUGGUCUGAGAGGACGAUCAGCCACACUGGAACUGAGACACGGUCCAGACUCCUACGGGAGGCAGCAGUGGGGAAUUUUCCACAAUGGGCGAAAGCCUGAUGGAGCAACGCCGCGUGUGUGAUGAAGGUCUUCGGAUCGUAAAGCACUUUCGACCGGGACGAAAAACCUUUGGCUAACAUCCAGGGGCCUGACGGUACCGGGAGAAGAAGCACCGGCUAACUCUGUGCCAGCCGCCGCAGUAAGAC
rnacentral:rRNA from 1 species